UACGUAGGGUGCAAGCGUUGUCCGGAAUUAUUGGGCGUAAAGAGCUCGUAGGCGGUCUGUCGCGUCGGAUGUGAAAGCCCGGGGCUUAACUCCGGGUCUGCAUUCGAUACGGGCAGGCUAGAGUUCGGUAGGGGAGAUCGGAAUUCCUGGUGUAGCGGUGAAAUGACGCAGAUAUCAGGAGGAACACCGGUGGCGAAGGCGGAUCUCUGGGCCGAUACUGACGUGAGGAGCGAAAGCGUGGGGAGCGAACAGG
rnacentral:rRNA from 1 species